rnacentral:rRNA from 1 species
UGCGUAGGUGGAUCUUUAAGUCAGGGGUGAAAUCCUGGAGCUCAACUCCAGAACUGCCUUUGAUACUGAGGAUCUUGAGUUCGGGAGAGGUAAGUGGAACUGCGAGUGUAGAGGUGAAAUUCGUAGAUAUUCGCAAGAACACCAGUGGCGAAGGCGGCUUACUGGCCCGAUACUGACACUGAGGCACGAAAGCGUGGGGAGCAAACA